rnacentral:rRNA from 1 species
GACGUAGGGUGCGAGCGUUGUCCGGAUUUAUUGGGCGUAAAGAGCUCGUAGGCGGCUCGUCGCGUCGACCGUGAAAACCCGCAGCUUAACUGCGGGCUUGCGGUUGAUACGGGCGGGCUAGAGUUCGGUAGGGGAGACUGGAAUUCCUGGUGUAGCGGUGAAAUGCGUAGAUAUCGAGAGGAACACCGGUGGCGAAGGCGGCCAACUGGACGAAUACUGACGCUGAGACUCGAAAGCGUGGGGAGCAAACAGG